AUUCAGCUGACGAGUCCUAAAUAAGACGAAACGCGCGUCCUGGAU
rnacentral:hammerhead_ribozyme from 1 species